rnacentral:rRNA from 1 species
UACGUAGGGUGCAAGCGUUAAUCGGAAUUACUGGGCGUAAAGGGUGCGUAGGCGGAUAUAUAAGUUAGAUGUGAAAAGCCCGGGCUUAACCUUGGUCGUGCAUUUAAGACUGUAUAUCUAGAGUUUGUCAGAGGGGGGUAGAAUUCCAAGUGUAGCAGUGAAAUGCGUAGAGAUUUGGAGGAAUACCGAUGGCGAAGGCAGCCCCCUGGGAUAGAACUGACGCUGAGGCACGAAAGCGUGGGUAGCAAACAGGAUUAGAUACCCUGGUAGUCCACGCCCUAAACGAUGUUUACUUGCUGUUGGGAGCAAUCUUAGUAGCGAAGCUAACGCGAGAAGUAAACCGCCUGGGGAGUACGGUCGCAAGAUUAAAACUCAAAGGAAUUGACGGGGACCCGCACAAGCGGUGGAUGAUGUGGAUUAAUUCGAUGCAACGCGAAAAACCUUACCUGCUCUUGACAUGUCAGGAAUACCUAAGAGAUUAGGUAGUGCCUUCGGGAAUCUGAACACAGGUGCUGCAUGGCUGUCGUCAGCUCGUGUCGUGAGAUGUUGUCUUAAGUGACGCAACGAGCGCAACCCUUGCAACUAGUUGCCCUAAUUAAGUUUGGAACUCUAGUUGGACUGCCGGUGCUAAGCCGGAGGAAGGUGGGGAUGACGUCAAGUCCUCAUGGCCCUUAUGAGCAGGGCUUCACACGUCAUACAAUGGUAGGUACAGACGGUAGCAAAGCCGCGAGGUUGAGCCAAUCCUAUAAAGCCUAUCGUAGUCCGGAUUGUAGUCUGCAACUCGACUACAUGAAGUCGGAAUCGCUAGUAAUCGCAGAUCAGCAUGCUGCGGUGAAUACGUUCCCGGGUCU